GCUGUCCAUCAUGUACAGGCUGAGCUCGGAUUGGUGGGGGUGGGCGGUUCCGCAGGUAUCUCACGCUCAUAGAAGAGCAGGGCAGAGAGUAGGUGAUCAAUCUUCAUCAGUCUACUUUAGCAAUCACUUUAACCACUACGCAAGACAGCCACCAAACAAGAAUUGUAAACGGUGGAUAUUUUGAGUGAAGAUACUGAGUUUAUUGCGACUGGAUCUGUUAAGAACAUUGAAGAAAAGUUUACUUGAAGAAACUCCCUGACGGAAUUUUAAUACCGAAGGAAAAUUGGAAGAAAUUGGGGUGGGGGGGGGGGGGGGGGGACGACG